UGGGGAAUAUUGCACAAUGGGCGCAAGCCUGAUGCAGCCAUGCCGCGUGUGUGAAGAAGGCCUUCGGGUUGUAAAGCACUUUCAGCGAGGAGGAAGGUGGUGAACUUAAUACGUUCAUCAAUUGACGUUACUCGCAGAAGAAGCACCGGCUAACUCCGUGCCAGCAGCCGCGGUAAUACGGAGGGUGCAAGCGUUAAUCGGAAUUACUGGGCGUAAAGCGCACGCAGGCGGUUUGUUAAGUCAGAUGUGAAAUCCCCGGGCUCAACCUGGGAACUGCAUUUGAAACUGGCAAGCUAGAGUCUCGUAGAGGGGGGUAGAAUUCCAGGUGUAGCGGUGAAAUGCGUAGAGAUCUGGAGGAAUACCGGUGGCGAAGGCGGCCCCCUGGACGAAGACUGACGCUCAGGUGCGAAAGCGUGGGGAGCAAACAGAUUAGAUACCCUGGUGGUCACGCUGUAAACGAUGUCGAUUUUGGAGGUUGUGCCCCUUGAGGCGUGGNUUCCGGAGCUAACG
rnacentral:rRNA from 1 species